CAACGCGGGACACAGGCGACGGUUUAAUGACGCCGUUUCAGCUCCUCAGAUUUGAAUUCCUCAACCGCUCACCAUUCGCUGCUCUGGAGACUCGGGUGGAGAUAAAUCCCAUGUUUGACUGCCAUCUUUAGGGGAUCUGGAAAACUGUCCUUGAGGGAGCAUGCGUUUGUACAAUAUCGAGAGGUUUUAAAGAAAUAAACAUGAGCUAUUUGAUCAUUUAAGCAUAGGCCUACUGCUAAUGUCAAACCGCAACGUGUCACCUUUCUCAAAGUCAAACGCAUAUAAGGAUGAUGCCUUUUCCAUCUGUUGUUUAAGAAGAAAGCUUUUAUCUGGCGUUGACCACGAACUGAACUCUGUGAGUAAUGACUGAAAGAAAUGUGUUCCAUAAGCACAGAGGUGCCCAAACAAGACUUUCUGCCUCCCAUAAAGAGCAGCAUGGGUUGUGCUGUUGCAUGUUUCUGUCUUCUGUACGCUGUAGUCAAGCAGUUAUGCUUCUGCUUGAAAACUUUCACAAAGGGUCAUGUGUCCUCCCAGCACGUCAGCGGUAGCAGUGGCAAAUGCAAAUGUGGUCAGAUUCACUGGUCGUGUUUGAGAG